rnacentral:rRNA from 1 species
CAUAACAUCGCGAGCUGCAAUGCUUGCGAUCAAAGGAGCAAUUCGCUGGAGGAGGGGGUCGCGACUGAGAAAACCCUGGGGAGGGUAACGGCCUACCAAGGCGAUGAUCAGUAGCCGGCCUGAGAGGGCGCACGGCCACACUGGAACUGAAACACGGUCCAGACUCCUACGGGAGGCAGCAGUGGGGAAUUUUGCGCAAUGGGGGAAACCCUGACGCAGCAACGCCGCGUGGAGGAUGAAGUCCCUUGGGACGUAAACUCCUUUCGAACGGGACGAAAAAAAUGACGGUACCGUAAGAAGAAGCCCCGGCUAACUCCGUGCCAGCAGCCGCGGUAAUACGGGGGGGGCGAGCGUUGUUCGGAAUUAUUGGGCGUAAAGGGCGCGUAGGCGGUGUCGCAAGUCCAUGGUGAAAUCUCCAGGCUCAACUUGGAGUCUGCCACGGAAACUGCGAUGCUGGAAUGUGGAAA